CAGGCAACGUCAAUUGAACCGUAGCCGAACAAUCCGGGAGCGAGUACUACAGCGCCACACACGAACAAAAGGAAGCAACAACGCGCAGCUCACAAAAAUAUAA